rnacentral:rRNA from 1 species
GCAACUCGCCUACACGAAGUUGGAAUUGCUAGUAAUCGUGGAUCAGCAUGCCACGGUGAAUACGUUCCCGGGUCUUGUACACACCGCCCGUCACACCAUGGGAGCCGGGAAUGCCCGAAGUCAGUGGCCCAACCGCAGGGAGGGAGCUGCCGAAGGCAGGCCUGGUGACUGGGGUGAAGUCGUAACAAGGUAAC